UGGCCUAAUACUGACACUGAGGUGCGAAAGCAUGGGGAGCAAACAGGAUUAGAUACCCUGGUAGUCCAUGCCGUAAACGAUGUCUACUAGCCGUUGGGGCCUUUGAGGCUUUAGUGGCGCAGCUAACGCGAUAAGUAGACCGCCUGGGGAGUACGGUCGCAAGACUAAAACUCAAAUGAAUUGACGGGGGCCCGCACAAGCGGUGGAGCAUGUGGUUUAAUUCGAUGCAACGCGAAGAACCUUACCUGGUCUUGACAUAGUAAGAACUUUCCAGAGAUGGAUUGGUGCCUUCGGGAACUUACAUACAGGUGCUGCAUGGCUGUCGUCAGCUCGUGUCGUGAGAUGUUGGGUUAAGUCCCGCAACGAGCGCAACCCUUGUCAUUAGUUGCCAGCAUUAAGUUGGGCACUCUAAUGAGACUGCCGGUGACAAACCGGAGGAAGGUGGGGAUGACGUCAAGUCAUCAUGCCCCUUAUGACCUGGGCUACACACGUGCUACAAUGGACGGUACAACGAGAAGCGACCCUGUGAAGGCAAGCGGAUCUCUGAAAGCCGUUCUCAGUUCGGAUUGCAGGCUGCAACUCGCCUGCAUGAAGCUGGAAUCGCUAGUAAUCGCAAAUCAGCACGUUGCGGUGAAUACGUUCCCGGGCCUUGUACACACCGCCCGUCACACCAUGAGAGUCUGUAACGCCCGAAGCCGGC
rnacentral:rRNA from 1 species